UGGGGAAUUUUGGACAAUGGGGGAAACCCUGAUCCAGCCAUCCCGCGUGUGCGAUGAAGGCCUUCGGGUUGUAAAGCACUUUUGGCAGGAAAGAAACGUCAUGGGUUAAUACCCCGUGAAACUGACGGUACCUGCAGAAUAAGCACCGGCUAACUACGUGCCAGCAGCCGCGGUAAUACGUAGGGUGCAAGCGUUAAUCGGAAUUACUGGGCGUAAAGCGUGCGCAGGCGGUUCGGAAAGAAAGAUGUGAAAUCCCAGAGCUCAACUUUGGAACUGCAUUUUUAACUACCGAGCUAGGGUGUGUCAGAGGGAGGUGGAAUUCCGCGUGUAGCAGUGAAAUGCGUAGAUAUGCGGAGGAACACCGAUGGCGAAGGCAGCCUCCUGGGAUAACACUGACGCUCAUGCACGAAAGCGUGGGGAGCAAACAGG
rnacentral:rRNA from 1 species